GUCCUACUCCCUCCGUCCUAAAUUUUUUGUCUUAAGUUUAUCUACAAAUGAAUGUAUGUAAAUAGUAAAACAUGACUAGAUACAUUCAUAUGUAGACAAAUUUAAGAUAAGAAUUCUGGGACGGAGGGAGUACAUU
rfam:Hordeum vulgare subsp. vulgare, WGS project CAJW01000000 data, contig: morex_contig_161686